UCGUUAACACGUUUGAAACAUCGGCUAUCGUUCUAUCACCGAAAUUAAGCAAUGUCAGGCCUGGUCAGUACUUGGGAGGGUGACCACCUGGUGCUAUUCUA